AUUUAUUUUAUUUAUUAUUCUCAGGCCUAAUGAUGAUCUCAUGAAUGCCAUUCAUUUAAGGCAAAACCCUCAACAACUAUGACACAACCAAUUUUAGACCACAGUGACCUAAUCUAAUGUGAGCAUGCAUGUGGCUAUUAUGGUGGAAUCAAUGCUGGUAUCAUCAGUUAGGAGAGAAAGAGUUAAAACAGGUUGUGGGUAGAGCCUACCGCAAAAUGAUUUAUUGCAUUCUUGACUUGCACAUUUACAUAAAUCAUACCUGUAACUAAGAUGUACAUUUCAUUUAUUGUUACAUAGUAAUGAAACAUACUAAUGUUUUUUGUUUUCAAUCUGUUUCUGAAACUAAAACUUGCCUUAUGUUUGUAAAAGAUUUUAUUUUAUGGAUGAUUGUUAUGUGAUAGUUCAUUCAUUGUAAGAUAACAUUUAAUUUAGUCAUCUGAAAGGGUGCUUUCUGUGUUGACAAGUGGUUUGUGAGCCCUAUACAAAAAUUCCCAUCUUUUCUGAAAAUAAGUAGGCUUUAACCUUAUUUAGAAGUCUUGAUUUACUCUACUAAGGCCAUUUAGGCUUUUAGUGGCCAAAACUUGCAUUAGUCACUUUUGUUUGGUGUGCUAUUUGGCACAGCAAAGAUUUAAAUGGUAGAAGUCUAUGAAUCUACCCGAAUUUACCGGAACUGAUUAUAUUGAGCACUGUCUUAAUUUUUUUCUCUAACCAAUUUGCUAUGACCAACAAAAGCUAAUCUGGGAUCUACUUUUUCUUUACAUGCUGCUACGUUUGGCAGCAAUGUAAUAUUGUGAUGAUUACUUUACUGUUUUUAGUGCCUAAUUUUGUGACUAUUUAAUGUUCAUGAUUGUGUUUUCCCUGGCUAAUUAACUUUUCUUCAAUUUAUACUUUUUAAAAUUGUCUUCUCUAGAAUCUUAGAAACUUCUAUUCUAAGUAUUUCUAUUACCUAUGAUCUUCUAGAAUCUGAUGUUCAUUCCUUUUUUCCGACUUCAUACUCUGAUUGGUUACUUCUAAUUAAUGCAUGCUUACUCUGUGAACUUCUUU
rnacentral:sRNA from 1 species